AUGCGGUAUGACGGUACCCUUUCGAAUAAGAGGUUGCUAACUCUGUGCCAGCAGCAGCGGUAAUACAGAGACCUCGAGCGUUAUCCGGAUUUACUGGGCGUAAAGCGUCUGUAGGGGGUUUGUUAAGUUCCAAGUAAAAUCUUAAGGCUCAACUUUAAGUUCGCUUGGAAAACUAAUAAACUGGAGUCCAGCAGAGGUGCAUGGAACUUGCGGUGUAGGAGUGAAAUCCGUUGAUAUCGCAAGGAACACCAAAGGCGAAUGCAUUGCACUGGGCUGGUACUGACCCUGAGAGACGAAAGCGUGGGGAGCAAAAACGGAUUAGAUACCCGUGUAGUCCACGCCGUAAACGAUGGAUACUAGAUGUUCGGGGAUUUGACCCCCUGGGUGUCACAGCUAACGCGUUAAGUAUCCCGCCUGGGAAGUACGGCCGCAAGGCUAAAACUCAAAGGAAUAGACGGGGAUCCGCACAAGCGGUGGAGCGUCUGGUUUAAUUUGAUAGUAAGCAAUGGACCUCACCAAGGUUUGACAUCCUAUGACAACCCUGGAAACAGGGCUUCCUUCGGGCAUAGUGACAGGUGCUGCAUGGUCGUCGUCAGUUCGUGCCGUGAGGUGUUCCGUUAAGUCGGGAAACGAACGAAACCCUCGUCGCAUGUUACAAAUUUCAUGCGAGACUGCCCGGGUCAACCGGGAGGAAGGCGGGGAUGACGUCAGAUCAGCAUGGCCCUUAUACCUUGGGCUACACAGGCGCUACAAUGGCCGGUACAAAGGGUUGCAAAACCGCGAGGUGAAGCUAAUCCCAUAAAGCCGGUCCAAGUUCGGAUUGGAGGCUGCAACUCGCCUCCAUGAAGUUGGAAUCGCUAGUAAUCGUGGAUCAGCCAUACCACGGUGAAUACGUUCCCGGAUCUUGUACUCACCGCCCGUCACACCAAGAGAGUUGGUAGCUCAUGAAGC
rnacentral:rRNA from 1 species